rnacentral:rRNA from 1 species
UGGGGAAUCUUGCGCAAUGGGCGAAAGCCUGACGCAGCAACGCCGCGUGAGGGAUGACGGCUUUCGGGUUGUAAACCUCUUUCAGCAGGAACGAAAUUGACGGUACCUGCAGAAGAAGCACCGGCCAACUACGUGCCAGCAGCCGCGGUAAUACGUAGGGUGCAAGCGUUGUCCGGAUUUAUUGGGCGUAAAGAGCUCGUAGGCGGUUAAGAAAGUCAGGUGUGAAACCUCCAGGCUCAACCUGGAGACGCCACUUGAUACUUCUUUGACUCGAGUUUGGUAGGGGUAAGCGGAAUUCCUGGUGUAGCGGUGAAAUGCACAGAUAUCAGGAGGAACACCGAUGGCGAAGGCAGCUUACUGGGCCAAAACUGACGCUGAGGAGCGAAAGCGUGGGGAGCGA